rnacentral:rRNA from 1 species
CGGCAACAGCUCAAAUUUGAAAUCUGGCCCCCUGGGGCCCGAGUUGUAAUUUGCAGAGGAUGCUUUUGGCGAGGCGCCUUCCGAGUUCCCUGGAACGGGACGCCACAGAGGGUGAGAGCCCCGUCUGGUCGGACGCCGAGCCUCUGUAAAGCUCCUUCGAC